UACGUAGGGCGCAAGCGUUAUCCGGAAUUAUUGGGCGUAAAGAGCUCGUAGGCGGUUUGUCGCGUCGGAUGUGAAAGUCCGGGGCUCAACUCCGGAUCUGCGGUGGGUACGGGCAGACUAGAGUGAUGUAGGGGAGACUGGAAUUCCUGGUGUAGCGGUGAAAUGCGCAGAUAUCAGGAGGAACACCGAUGGCGAAGGCAGGUCUCUGGGCAUUAACUGACGCUGAGGAGCGAAAGCAUGGGGAGCGAACAGG
rnacentral:rRNA from 1 species